rnacentral:lncRNA from 1 species
AGCCUCCUCUUCUUGGACUAAAUCUUCAGCCUCCUUUGUCAUACCACACCAUAAAAUCCCUCUAUGAUCCUUGUACAGUUCAAAGAGCUUUGGGGACUUCCGCAGAAAAGCUGAGAUUUUAUGGGGCUUCGGGAGGUUUAUCUGCCUCCUAUAUUGAUCAAGUGGGGGACUUCCGUAGAAAAGCCGAUAUUUUAUGAGGCUUCGGGAGGUUUAUUUGCCUCCUAUAUUGAUCAAGUUCCCUAAUUGAUAUGAUUUGUUGAGGCUCCUGUCUGAGGACUUCAAAAAUUAAUAGGAUUUUGGAGAGGAUCUUGUGCUUUUCUGUGGCUAUUUCAAGGUCAUGCACCCGCUUCUUCUUGCUUCUGUCUUGGACUCUUUUACUGGUGGUCAUUGAUCGGUGCCAUUGCAAGAUUGCUGAAGAAUCUAUGAACAGGAAUGCAAUUGAUGUAUUUAGUUCAGCAGAAAAACAUCCACGUCUACCAAUAAGGUUGAGCAUCCUGCCAAACCAAAAUAAUCAGAGGGGAUCCUCACACAAGACAAAGAAGGGUAUUGCAGCUCUUAGUCCAAAUAAUAAAUCGAGCACUGAGUAAUGGAUGUACUCGCUUGUCAUUCACCUACUAUUCCCUGAUCAUACACCUUCUGUCCCCCGAUCAAUGCUUUGCCACUAAUGGAAAAUGGCCGGAGACAACAUUAUGUGGCAUGCAAGUUUAAUCCAUUGCGGAAGCCUAAGAUUUGUUAAAAUAGGCCUCCCAAGUGGAACCAAUUUGUCCUAAGUGAGUUCUCAGGCAAAGUACCUUGAGGGAAUAUAAAAAAUAAACUCUGUUAAGACUGGUAGUUGUGAGACCUGCAUUACGUA